rnacentral:tRNA from 2 species
GCCGGGGUGGCUGAGCCUGGCACAGCGUCGGACUCAUAAUCCGAAGACCUGGGUUCAAAUCCCAGCCCCGGCA